GGAGAGUGGAUGGUGUGCCUGGCUGGCUGAGAGAGCUACAGGACCUCAGAGAGAGCAGUGCUUGGGGGCAUGCGCGCAAGGAGUACUUGAAGGUGCUCCUGGCUGGCUGCUGGGACUCAAUCAGGACAAGGCCCGGAGGUCUUUGGUAUUUCCCCACUUUGAGCCACAAUAUUUUUAACAUUUCAAGGCACUUGAACCACAUUUUCAACUUUUUUCCACGCCAUGUGCUGUUGAAAUUGACUAUGUUGCACAGUAAAUGAAGAUGGAGUUAGUGAAGCUUCAGUGUGGCACCAUUUUGAAGUAGAAGUAUAGAGAUGCUGGAAUUCCAGAAUUCUACAGGUUUCUUUCACAAGAAAGAUUUCCCAUGUUAUUCUCUGCUUCUGCAAGGACAAUGGCAAUGUUUGGAAGUGAUAUUUUGGAAAAUAUUCCACAGCGUGCCGCUCACUACCACAAGAUGUCUGACUGAAACAUCAUGGGAAAUUCUGCAAUAACUGACUGGAUUUCUAUUGUUCCUAGCCAGGAGUCUAACAAAGACAGCAGAAGUUCAUGCUUUCACAUGUUUGCAAAUCAGUAUUAAAAACCUCUUUAUAUAGUACUUUUGUAUAUUCAACCUUUUACUGGCUCCUAUUUGAGUUCCAGGAUUGUCCCCCCAUUCUUCACUGUCAUACUAUUGACUUUUGUAUUGUGCACUGUGAGGAAUUGUAGUUACUUGUUGCAACUUCUCUAUUUCCACAGUUUUGUCAACAAAAGUCAGGUUUCAUCAACAAAAGAGUGGACACGUACACAGGGUCCUUCAUACCAGGAGGGGAUUCAUGGCCCUGCACACUUUGCAUCAUCACAACCCCCACAGUGAACUUCUCAAUUCCAAACUGAUUGGCAGUUGAUUGACUGAUAGCAGUCUGGAAUUGCCAGAUUCCACACAGCUAUCGCCACAUGCUUUUCCACCAUUAGGGCAGCUCUCUUUUUGGUGUCCUUGCAUCACAGGUUGUGGGGCAUGCUCCACACAGAGUUCAAAGAAGGUGACUUUGUGCAUACAAAAGUUCUGCAGCCACUGCUUGUCAACCCAUGACGGCAUCACAAGCCGACCCCACUCAAUGCUUUUUCCCAAGCCCAGUAGCAACCAUAUGCAGCUGCUCCAUGAAUGCCAACAUCAAUCUUGAAUUGUUUCUUUCCACGGUACACAGCAGGGCACACACUAUGGUUUCCUGUUCAGAUUCGCAGCUCAUUAAAUACUGCAGCUUCAGAUGCAUUAUGUUCAUACCACUUAUCACAAGACUGGAAAGCCUUGAAGGAUCCAUGCUUUCAGGGAGAGAUGAUGGGCGCAAAGUUUACAGGGGCAGUUGAAAUAUCAGGUGAAACACAGUUGGAAGCCUUUGGAAUUGGACAGGAGAAAACUGCAUCAUACAGCAGUAAUUCUGCCCCCAUGAUGCACUGCAAUCCAUUCUCAUAACUCCUAGCAGGAGAAGGUGGCAAUUUGCACAGUGGGAUAGCUACCCACAGCAUACUACUCUUUGUUGGUGCUAGAGCACCAACUGUGGACGUGCUCCGCCAGCAGGAGAGUUGUGUGAAAAUGUACAAGCGAUGUAUUACAGCAGUUUAUGAUCAUCAACAUAACUUAAAAUCGACUUAACUCUGUAGUGCAGACAUGACCGAUGUACAAUAAAACAAAGUUCUGUAGACCAUAGUGUAUGGAUAUAAAAUGAAAGCCAUAUUUAUAUGCUUGAAAUUACUAGUUAAGUCAGAUAAGAGUUAAAUAGGGAUAGUGUAAAGAAAAGCAUUAAACUCUGAUCAGUGUUAUCAUCACCACCUUAAAAGCAGUAAAAAAACUCUAACAUGACA